rnacentral:rRNA from 1 species
UGGGGAAUUUUGGACAAUGGGCGCAAGCCUGAUCCAGCCAUGCCGCGUGCGGGAAGAAGGCCUUCGGGUUGUAAACCGCUUUUGUCAGGGAAGAAAUCUUCUGAGUUAAUACCUCGGGAGGAUGACGGUACCUGAAGAAUAAGCACCGGCUAACUACGUGCCAGCAGCCGCGGUAAUACGUAGGGUGCAAGCGUUAAUCGGAAUUACUGGGCGUAAAGCGUGCGCAGGCGGUUUUGUAAGACAGAGGUGAAAUCCCCGGGCUCAACCUGGGAACUGCCUUUGUGACUGCAAGGCUUGAGUGCGGCAGAGGGGGAUGGAAUUCCGCGUGUAGCAGUGAAAUGCGUAGAUAUGCGGAGGAACACCGAUGGCGAAGGCAAUCCCCUGGGCCUGCACUGACGCUCAUGCACGAAAGCGUGGGGAGCAAACAGGAUUAGAUACCCUGGUAGUCCACGCCCUAAACGAUGUCAACUGGUUGUUGGGAAGGUUCCUUCUCAGUAACGUAGCUAACGCGUGAAGUUGACCGCCUGGGGAGUACGGCCGCAAGAUUAAAAGCUCAAAUGAAUUGACGGGGUCAUA